UCCGGGUGGAGCACUGCUGACU
rnacentral:miRNA from 1 species